AGUCAUACGCUCGUCUCAAAGAUUAAGCCAUGCAUGUGUAAGUCUAAAUAGUUUUAGUGUGAAACUGCGAAGGGCUCAUUAUAUCAGUUAUAGUUUAUUUGGAAUAGUUUCUAUAUGGAUAACCGUAGUAAUUCUAGGGCUAAUACAUGUGUUUUCUUUGAUGGGCAACCAUUAAAGAAGUACUUAUUAGACAUAAAACCAAUUUAAUGGUGUUGUGAGUAAUAAUAAUUGUUGACUUUAUCGCAUGCUUGUUAGUAGCGAUG
rnacentral:rRNA from 1 species